AUUGAACGCUGGCGGCAGGCCUAACACAUGCAAGUCGGGCGGAGCGGCGGACGGGUGAGUAAUGUAUGGGGAUCUGCCUGAUGGCGGGGGAUAACUACUGGAAACGGUAGCUAAUACCGCAUACUAUUGGAGCGGCCGAUAUCGGAUUAGCUAGUUGGUGGGGUAAAGGCUCACCAAGGCAACGAUCCGUAGCUGGUUUGAGAGGACGACCAGCCACACGGGGACUGAGACACGGCCCAGACUCCUACGGGAGGCAGCAGUGGGGAAUUUUGGACAAUGGGGGAAACCCUGAUCCAGCCAUCCCGCGUGUAUGAUGAAGGCCUUCGGGUUGUAAAGUACUUUUGGCAGAGAAGCGGUAUCUGCAGAAUAAGCACCGGCUAACUACGUGCCAGCAGCCGCGGUAAUAC
rnacentral:rRNA from 1 species